CUUGGUGUAUAUUGCGCAGAGGGUACACCUGUUCCCAUUCCGAACACAGAAGUUAAGCUCUGUUGCGUUGAUGGUACUGCAUCGCUUGAUGUGGGAGAGUAGAUAUAUGCCAAGA
rnacentral:rRNA from 1 species